AUUUCUUGGAGACACACCAGAACAAGUAGUUCAACAAUACCAAGAGUUCAUUGGACGACCGGCAAUGCCAGCAUAUUGGAACCUUGGCUUUCAACUGAGUCGCUGGAAUUACGGGUCAUUAGACACUGUGAAAGAAGUAGUAAGAAGAAACCGGGAAGCUGGCAUCCCAUAUGAUGCACAAGUCACUGAUAUUGACUAUAUGGAAGACAAAAAGGACUUUACUUAUGAUGAAGUCAAAUUUAAUGGACUUCCUGAAUUUGCCCAGGAUUUACAUAACCAUGGACAAAAAUAUAUUAUCAUCCUGGACCCUGCCAUCUCCAUAAAUAAGCGAGCCAACGGUGCAGAAUAUCAAACAUAUGUGAGAGGGAAUGAGAAA
rnacentral:lncRNA from 1 species